UGGGGCGUCGCCAAGCGGUAAGGCACCAGGUUUUGAUCCUGGCAUACGCAGGUUCGAAUCCUGCCGCCCCAGCCA
rnacentral:tRNA from 2 species